rnacentral:rRNA from 1 species
AUUGAACGCUGGCGGCAGGCCUAACACAUGCAAGUCGAACGAGUGGCGGACGGGUGAGUAAUGUCUGGGAAACUGCCUGAUGGAGGGGGAAAACUACUGGAAACGGUAGCUAAUACCGCAUACCAUCAGAUGUGCCCAGAUGGGAAAUGCUAGUUGGUGGGGUAACGGCUCACCAAGGCGACGAUCCCUAGCUGGUUUGAGAGGAUGACCAGCAACACUGGAACGGAGACACGGGCCAGACUCCUACGGGAGGCAGCAGUGGGGAAUAUUGCACAAUGGGCGCAAGCCUUAUGCAGCCAUGCGGCGUGUAGGAAGAAGGCCUUCGGGUUGUAAAGGACUUUCAGCGGGGAGGCGUUACCCGCAGAAGAAGCACCGGCUAACUCCGUGCCAGCAGCCGCGGUAAUUC